UACGUAGGGUGCAAGCGUUAAUCGGAAUUACUGGGCGUAAAGCGUGCGCAGGCGGCUUCCUAAGUCAGAUGUGAAAUCCCCGGGCUCAACCUGGGAACUGCGUUUGAAACUGGGAGGCUGGAGUGCGGCAGAGGGGGGUGGAAUUCCACGUGUAGCAGUGAAAUGCGUAGAUAUGUGGAGGAACACCGAUGGCGAAGGCAGCCCCCUGGGCCAGCACUGACGCUCAUGCACGAAAGCGUGGGGAGCAAACAGG
rnacentral:rRNA from 1 species